rnacentral:rRNA from 1 species
UACGAAGGGGGCUAGCGUUGCUCGGAAUUACUGGGCGUAAAGCGCACGUAGGCGGGUUCUUAAGUCGGUGGUGAAAUCCUGGAGCUCAACUCCAGAACUGCCUUCGAAACUGGGAAUCUUGAGUCCGGGAGAGGUGAGUGGAACUGCGAGUGUAGAGGUGAAAUUCGUAGAUAUUCGCAAGAACACCAGUGGCGAAGGCGGACUCACUGGCCCGGUACUGACGCUGAGGUGCGAAAGCGUGGGAGCGAACGAGGAAU